rnacentral:rRNA from 1 species
CCCUUAGAUGUUCUGGGCUGCACGCGCGCUACACUGAUGCAUGCAACGAGUUUUCGACCUUGCCUGAAAAGGCUGGGUAAUCUGUUUAACAUGUGUCGUGAUGGGGAUAGACCAUUGCAAUUAUUGAUCUUCAACGAGGAAUUCCUAGUAAGCGCGAGUCAUCAGCUCGUGCUGAUUAUGUCCCUGCCCUUUGUACACACCGCCCGUCGCUCCUACCGAUUGAGUGGUCCGGUGAGGCUUUGGGAUCUGAGCGGAAAGAGCGUUUCGCCGUUUCUGCUCGGAAAACUCAGUCGAACCUUAUCAUUUAGAGGAAGGAGAAGUCGUAACA